rnacentral:rRNA from 1 species
UGUACGAAGCUGAGUAUAGUUUGACCUGCUCACUGAAUUGAUUAAAGAGCCGCAGUAUUUUGACUGUGCGAAGGUAGCAUAAUAGAUUGUCUUUUAAAUGGAGGCUUGAAUGAACGGUUGGACAAAAUAUUAUCUGUUUCUUAAAUAAUUAUUGAAUUUGAUUUUUAAGUGAAAAAGCUUAAAUAUACUAAAAAGACGAUAAGACCCUAUAAAUCUUGAUAAUAAUUGUAAUUUUAGAUUUUAGUUUAUAAGUUUAUAAUUUAUAAAAUAAUGAUUUUAUUUCGUUGGGGCGACGUAGAUAUAUAAUAGAACUGUUUAUAAUAUAAAAUCAAUAAUAGUUGAUUAAUAAGUUUGAUCCUUUAUAAAGAUUAAGAGAUUAAGAUACUUUAGGGAUAA